AUGCUCGUCCAGUCCACCAUGGAUGUACCUGGAGAGAGACUGAACAUUCGUUACAGAGAUGAAGACGGGACGAUCCUCUACGAGUCUUACAUCCCACCUUCUCGGGACGCUGUCCACUUGCCGACGUACAUUCUCUACCUGCUCAUUGCUGUUUUUGUAGUGAUUUCUGUUCUUUAUGCCAUCAUUGGACACCUCAUCAAAGACCUAGUCCUUGACUUUGGAGAUUGGUUGUUUGGGGAGCAGCCCGAGGAGGUGGUGGUGAACUACUGCCAAGCUAAAGACAAGUUCAUGGCUGAUUGGGCUCCAGAAACCUCCCCUGAACUGGAGGCGAUGGCUCGGGCAGAGGAGAACAAAAUAGUUGACAGGGACUUCAUGAAAGCGCCAGCCAUCUGGAUCAUCUCCACAGAACCUCGAGCAGCAAGGACCGGACCCCGUGUGGUUUUUGGGAAAAUGUCUUAAAGGCAGAGCAGAGGAAAAACCUUCUGCUCAUCGUGUGCUGCUGUGAAAAUACAACUGAGGGGAUUGUUGCAGCAUUUCUACCUGAGACUCAAAAUGUGCUGAUGUGUUGGAAGUGGUGGGCUCUGAGGCUGCAGUGGAGCUUUGAGGACAUCUAGUGUCUGCGUUGGUUUCCAGCAUGUACAUCUGAAAUGAACCUGAACAAAGAAGACUUACUGUGAAGGAACUUUACAUUGUACUUUAGUUACCACCAUUGUAGUACUGUGUCCUUCCGACAACUUAAGUAAAUUUAAUUUAAAUCAUGUUUAAUUAAACAGUAAAAUUGUUCUGAAAUUAGAAUCAAACCUCUAAAAGCAAUUACCAGUGUUAAUUACCAGUGUUUUUUUAAUGGAUUAUGCCAACUAUGCAUGAAUAUUUAUUAGAAAAAAGGAAUAACUCAGUAGGGAGGGUUAAAUAAGUUUGCUUCUUCCCACUCAGUUCGAACAAUAAAUCAAACUGUUCUUGACAUUGAUGGAUAGUCAAUAUACUUAAUUACUCUAAUGUGACGUGUGUGUGAACUAUAUGCAAAAAUGCAAAAAAAUUUAUUCAUGAUAAGGAGUAAUUGCACGGUCUAGAAUAUUUGUUCUUCGUUAAUUAUCCUUUAUAUUCUAAGCAAUGAAAUAAUUUGAUAGAAUUUGAUUUUUCAUUGCAGCAUUCAGUUAUUUUUAAUGCUUUCAAUCAAAUAAAUAGACCAAAUAAAACCUAAUUUAAAUGUUUUUGUUCAUUUUUGUAUCCUAAAAAUACUGGGAAACAUUUUUGCAUUAUGCAUUUUUCCUUUAUUGGACUAAGAGCAGUUAAUAGCAGAAACUAUUUGUCAAAUUUGUUUAUCUUUCUUCUCUGUCAUGUCUGAGUGUUUCAUAAUGCAGCUCUGAUAUUUAUGCUAAUAAAGGGUGAUUUGUGACAUAGUCAGAAAGCCCAAUUAAAUAUGAAUGAUUGAGUCCAUUGGUGUUGUUACUUUAACCAAAAUACCUAUAAUUUAUUUUGACAUUUUCAUCAUGAUCACAGAGGUAGUUCAGAAAUAAUUAAAACAGAUUUUUAUUAGAGGCUCCUGAAAGUCUGCUUGAAGUCAAAACAGAGGAAGCAGUCACAUUUAUAAGGUUAAAAAAACUUUUAAAAUAAUCUGCACUUUGUCUCUUAUGAAAAACUCAAAAUGAAGAAAAUCCUUUUCUUGUACAAUGGUGCAUCACUAAUGUGUGCGCUACUGUGUUUAAUCUCAUGUCUCUGAGGACUGAGAAUGUGCAAUAUAAUCUCAAUUUCUUUUUUGGGGGGGGUGAUACUUCCCUUGUUUUUUGUUUGUUCUGUUUUUGAGUUGCCCCUGUCAGGCACACCUGGUUUAAGUUGCCAUCCACAGCUGUCUUGAUUUGUGUUAAUUAUCCUCAGUUUAUAUUUGUCUGGUCUUCAGCUUUAUCUGAUUUGUUGCCUUUUUGUUUCUCCAUGGGUUUUGACAUGUUAAGAGUUAUGAUUUAAUUAAUGUUUUUGCCACCAGGCCUGGUCUCCUGCAGAAUGGGUCCUACUCCAACAGUUCCUGACACCACCAAAGAGAUAACAAACGUUUUUCUUUAAAAGUAUUUUAGUCACGCUCUACACUAAACUCAACCGGGAAUUUUAUUUUAACCCUUGUGCUAUCCUAGGCACUUUAACAUUGGGGUCACCUACACCCCAUUAGACGGUGCCCUGAACCUUUUUUCUUCAAUGAUCUGUGAUCUUCACUGGUGUCCAGGGAUUGCAUGAAAUCCUCUCCACCUUUAUCCAUAUUUUUCAUGGUAGGGAUAACACGUCAAUGGUCAUCUUGACCCCAUAGGAUAGCACAAUGGUUAAAGUGAUUUUCUGACUGCAGUUCCAUCACAAACACGACAGACUUCAGAUUGUUACUGAUGAUUGUAAUGGCACCUAUUGUCCAGUAGAGGGCAAAAAAGAGCACAAAUGAACGGGGAAAUACCAUUUUCCACGGAGAUGAAAGAAAAUUGCAUCAAGAAUGCUGGAAAAUGUUUUUUAAUCUAUUUAAUAUUUUAUUGUUCUUUUCUAAGAAUUUAGCUGUAAAGCCUUGUAGCAUCCUGCUGACUUAAAAUAGCAUGGGUUGUCUUGAGUAACACAAUAAAAUAUUAAAUAAAUG
rnacentral:lncRNA from 1 species